AAUCAACGCUGGCGGCGUGCCUAACACAUGCAAGUCGAACGCGAAAGCCCCGCAAGGGGUCAGUAGAGUGGCAAACGGGUGAGUAACACGUGGGUGAUCUGCCUCAGAGUGGGGGAGUAACGACCCGAAAGGGUACGCUAAUACCGCAUAACAUCCUGCCUUUGGAUAGGUGGAGAUCAAAGUUGGGGAUUCGCAAGAACCUGACGCUUGGAGAGGAGCCCGCGGCCGAUUAGCUAGUUGGUGAGGUAACGGCUCACCAAGGCGACGAUCGGUAUCCGGCCUGAGAGGGCGGACGGACACACUGGGACUGAGACACGGCCCAGACUCCUACGGGAGGCAGCAGUGGGGAAUUGUUCGCAAUGGGCGCAAGCCUGACGACGCAACGCCGCGUGGAGGACGAAGAUUUUCGGAUCGUAAACUCCUUUCGAUCGGGAAGAACAGCCUUCAGGUGAACAGCCUGAG
rnacentral:rRNA from 1 species